rnacentral:rRNA from 1 species
CCUACGGGUGACAGCAGUGAGGAAUAUUGGUCAAUGGGCGGGAGCCUGAACCAGCCAAGCAGCGUGAGGGAAGAAGGUCCAGCGUAUCGUAAACCUCUUUUGUCAGGGAACAAAGGCAGGGACUAGUCCCCGGUUGAGGGUACCUGAUGAAAAAGCAUCGGCUAACUCCGUGCCAGCAGCCGCGGUAAUACGGAGGAUGCGAGCGUUAUCCGGAUUUAUUGGGUUUAAAGGGAGCGUAGGCGGCCUGUUAAGUCAGCGGUAAAAGGCCGGGGCUCAACCGCCGGCGAGCGGUGGAAACUGGCGGUCUGGAGUUGGAGUGAAGUACGCGGAAUGCGCGGUGUAGCGGUGAAAUGCUUAGAUAUCGCGCAGAACCCCGAUUGCGAAGGCAGCUUAC